rnacentral:lncRNA from 1 species
UUUUCUUCCAUUUCAACUACAAAUCCUUGUACAAUAUGAACUAUCAUCCAAGAUUCUAGUCUCCAUUCUAGCAGCUAUAAUAUAAGAUUCAUUAAGUAUUAUUGGAUAUAUAGCAAAGUUUUAUAUCAAGAAAUUUUACUCUACUUCCACAUCUUCAAUCCUAUUCUUUAUAGCUGAACAAGCUCUAUAUAAAUCAUCUUUUUGGUUGUUAGCAACUCUAAUUAUUCAACCAUAUUUGAUAUCAAUAAGUCACUUAUUCUUCUUAUAUACAUGCCUUAACAUGAUAUUGAUUUCAGAUCU